UACGUAGGGUGCAAGCGUUGUCCGGAAUUAUUGGGCGUAAAGAGCUUGUAGGCGGUUUGUCGCGUCUGCUGUGAAAUUUCGGGGCUCAACCCCGAACUUGCAGUGGGUACGGGCAGACUAGAGUGUGGUAGGGGAGACUGGAAUUCCUGGUGUAGCGGUGGAAUGCGCAGAUAUCAGGAGGAACACCGGUGCGAAGGCGGGUCUCUGGGCCGACAUUGACGCUGAGGAGCGAAAGCGUGGGGAGCGAACAGG
rnacentral:rRNA from 1 species